GACGAACGCUGGCGGCGUGCUUAACACAUGCCAGUCGAACGGAAAGGCCCUGCUUUUGUGGGGUGCUCGAGUGGCGAACGGGUGAGUAACACGUGAGUAACCUGCCCUGGACUUUGGGAUAACUUCAGGAAACUGGGGCUAAUACCGGAUAGGAGCUCCUGCUGCAUGGUGGGGGUUGGAAAGUUUCGGCGGUUGGGGAUGGACUGGGGGCUUAUCAGCUUGUUGGUGGGGUAGUGGCUUACCAAGGCGUUGACGGGUAGCCGGCCUGAGAGGGUGACCGGCCACAUUGGGACUGAGAUACGGCCCAGACUCCUACGGGAGGCAGCAGUGGGGAAUAUUGCACAAUGGGCGGAAGCCUGAUGCAGCAACGCCGCGUGCGGGAUGACGGCCUUCGGGUUGUAAACCGCUUUCGCCUGUGACGAAGCGUGAGUGACGGUAAUGGGUAAAGAAGCACCGGCUAACUACGUG
rnacentral:rRNA from 1 species